rnacentral:rRNA from 1 species
UUAUGGCUCAGGAUGAACGCUAGCUACAGGCUUAACACGUGCAAGUCGAGGGGCAGCAUGGUCUUAGCUUGCUAAGAUGAUGGCGACCGGCGCACGGGUGAGUAACGCGUAUCCAACCUUCCCUAUAGUAGGGGAUAGCCCGUAGAAAUGCGGAUUAAUACCCUAUGUUGUAUUUCGAGGACAUCUGACGAAUACCAAAGGUUCACCGCUAUAGGAUGGGGAUGCGUCUGAUUAGGUAGUCGGCGGGGUAACGGCCCACCGAGCCAACGAUCAGUAGGGGUUCUGAGAGGAAGGUCCCCCACAUUGGAACUGAGACACGGUCCAAACUCCUACGGGAGGCAGCAGUGAGGAAUAUUGGUCAAUGGGCGAGAGCCUGAACCAGCCAAGUAGCGUGCAAGGAUGACGGCCCUAUGGGUUGUAAACUGCUUUUAUGCGGGGAUAAAGUGAGGGACGUGUCCCUUAUUGUAGGUACCGCAUGAAUAAGGACCGGCUAAUUCCGUGCCAGCAGCAGC